rnacentral:antisense_RNA from 1 species
GCAAAGUCAGCUGAGGAUCCCCGACCAGGUGCACCCAGCCCGCGUGCCUCGAGAGAUGCUCUCCACCCGGUGUUACGGCCAGCGCCGCGGUCAGGCUGCACUCGGCUGGAUGAGAGGAAAUGGGCAGGCAGCUGCGGAGGGAACCGUACUCACCAGCCCCAGCAGGCAGCGGACCUCGUUGACGGCGCCAAUGCAGCCCAGGAAGCCCAUGAGCAUGGUGACUGCCCCCACGCCGAUGAAGACGUAGGCCCCCAUCCUGAGCGAGCUGGAGGAGGUUUCUAGGGGGAAGAAGCAGCACACUCACUAAGUACAAAAUCAGUGGGCCCAGCAGGACCUGAGGUGCAUGAGGGCAGAAGCUUCGCUUUAUUCCCAGGGAACCCCCAGCUUGAACAGCACCUCUCGCAGUGAGGUGCUGUGCACAGUGAAUGUCUGCAGAAUUGACAGACAAGAGGCUGGCUAGUUCUCCAGGGGCCACUGACAUUAAGAUUCCAAGCUGAUUUUUAACCCGCCUUCCUUCUUGUCCAUAUAAUAACAAACACCAGCCUUUCUUGCCC